GGCCGAGCUCCGAAAGUCCUUAUUUCUUGUGCGCUCUUUUCGAACUCUUCUGAAGCCAUACAGUACUGGUCAAAAUGUUAGAAUAAUUAAGUUUUUGAAUGAAGGCUGCAUUUAUUUAAUCAAAAAUAGUCAAAACAGUAAUAUAGUGAAAUAUUAUUACAAUUUAAAAAUAACUGUUUUCUAUUUAAAUUUAUUUUCAAAUUUAUUCCUAUGAUGCAAAGCUGAAUUUUCAGCAUCAUUACUCCAGUUUUCAGUGUCACAUGAUCCUUCAGAAAUCAUUCUAAUAUGCUGAUUUGCUGCUCAAGAAAUAUUCGUUAUUAUCAAUGUUGACAACAUUUGGGCUGUUUGAUAUUUUUACAGAAAAUGUGAUAUACUACCAUCUAAAUGAUACUUCUAUUCAGCAAAAACAUUGAUAAUUAUCAGAAAUGUUUCUGCAAAUCAGCAUAUUAGAAUGAUUUCUGAAGGAUCAUGUGACACUGAAGACUGGAGUAUUGAUGCUGAAAAUUCAGCUUGGCAUCAGGAAAAUAAUAAAUGCAAAUAAAUGCAGCCUUGUUGAGUAGAGGAGACUUCUUUCAAAAACAAAUUAAAAAUAUUAAAUCUUAGAAAACUGACACAAGGGUAAGUAAAUAAUGAUAGAAUUUUCAUUUUUGGAUAAACUAUUAAUGUAUCAUGCAUAUUUUCUCUGUGUGUGUGUGUGAGUGAGUGAGUGACUGAAAUCUGGUUGAUGUGCAUUAGAUUUUCAUUGCGUCUGAAGAGAAACGGCUUCUGUCAGAUCUCUGUGCUGUUUCGAUUCCCCCUCACGUCAGCGUGACACGCGGCUCUGAGUCAUGCAGGCUGGGACGGCUCCGCAGUUCUGCAGCAUCACUGCAGACUCUCUCACGCACCGACGCUGUCUCAACAGUCCACGGUCACUCUGCUAAUGCAUUUCACGCGAGGCCGAUACCAAGCUGAGCUCCAUCUGCACCGCACUGCUACUCAUAUCAAAGAGGGAGCGAGUGACAGAAGGGAUGAGAGAAGCCGACUAAAAUGUGUGAAAGAAAUGUGCGGCGGACUCUAGGCUGCAUCCCUUCAGCAACAUAUGGGCUCCUAAU
ensembl:lncRNA